UUAAGGAUAAAUUUAAUAUAAAUUAAGAAACACUAAGUAACGUUCAUUAAAAAUCUGGAACCACUAAGGCACUACAUAAAGUUGUCCAAGCAUCACGAAGCAACUUAUAGUCCGGCUACACGACUAACAAUUUGCAAUUGUAUAGUAAUUAUAAACAGUUAACUCUACUUCAAAGAGAUCUUUCGUUAUACUAGGAAAAAACUCGAGAAAACAAGAACUAAAUUAGUCAGUACAUAAUCUCCUUCACACUAUUUCAAAUAUUUGAGUCGUCAAUUCUAUGAACCACAGAUUAAAAUAGUUUAAAAAUACUUGUACCGCGUAGACGUUUCGAACAACAAGUAGGAAUAUAUGUAUAUAUUGGAAUUCGUUAUGUGCAGCCGGACAGCAUAAGAAAAUAGGACUGAGUUAUCUUUACGGAAAUUGGAAUGUAUAGUUUACUCUAUAUUAUAUUUAUAUACGAGGUAAAUGCUGUAACAUACAUAGUAAACGUUUAUGCUAAGGUCGAGAUAUAUAUUGUUAAAUUAUUUAUCAAGUUCGCUCAAUUUGUUCCCGAAGUUUAUAAUAUUAAGUAGAUCAUAAUUGGUGUAGUAUAGAUUGGAUCCAAUGUUGGCAAGCUUUCUAAAUGGUUCUAAAUGUAAGGUACGUAAUAUAUUUACAAUAGCUGUGCUCAAAAUUACAAUAAAAAUCUUUUAUACCCUAGAUAAAAUGCCUAAUGGGUGCAAUUAUUGAACUAAUAUUGACCGAUUAGUUAGAUAAUAUUAUAAGAACAGUAUGCAAGAAAUAUCUCCGAAUACUUUGUAGUAAUAAACUUACAGAGAGUAAAAUAAAACUAUUUUGUAUUUUCUACAUAAUUGACACCGGUAACGCAGUAUCCUACUUUAUCUAGUUAUUGUACUAAGUGGUAUGGUAGCUUCGCGAGUCUUAA